GAUCCUGGCUCAGGAUGAACGCUGGCGGCGUGCUUAACACAUGCAAGUCGAACGGAGUGCUCAUGACAGAGGAUUCGUCCAAUGGAUUGAGUUACUUAGUGGCGGACGGGGUGAGUAACGCGUGAGUAACCUGCCUUGGAGUGGGGAAUAACACAGAGAAAUUUGUGCUAAUACCGCAUAAUGCAGUUGUGCCGCAUGGUACUGACUGCCAAAGAUUUAUCGCU
rnacentral:rRNA from 1 species